rnacentral:rRNA from 1 species
GAGUGUGAUCAUACCAACCCUAACGCAUCGGACCCCAUCAGAACUUUGUAAUUAAGCAUGCUUGGGAUAGACUAGUACUGGGAUGGGUAACCUCUCGGGAAGUCCUAGUGUUGCAUCCUC